GGGGGUUAGCAAGAGAUUUAAACAGGACCUUCACAAUCCUCACACACCAGCGCUAGAACUAGAAAUGGCAGAAGAAAACAAAAGGGUCCGAAACAUGUAUGGAAGGCUUGGAAGCCAAGAGGAUGCUUCAGACUGGGAAGAGGAUGAAAGAAACACGUUCAGAAAUGAUCAGCUGGAAACACAUGCAGAUGUUGUCUUCAAAUUGUAUGAUCCAAUUUAUCCACAACAACAGGAAUUCCUAUAUAAUCUGCUCUUCAGACCCUCUUCAGAUCCUAUCAAGUGGAUGAGACUCAUCAUAAAGAAGUAUCCAACCCUCAAGGUUUCAUGGACUCAUGAUCCAGUCCGAGAUGUGAUUAGUAUCUGGGGUGACAGCAAGACAUUGAGAGAGUUUUGUGAAAAAUUUCCAGAUUAUCUACAAGAGAUUGAAACUGAAGAACUGACAGCAAGAUUACAAGAAACAUUAACAACAGAAGAAAACACAAUGAAAGAAGAGCUGCCAAAAAAAUGAGGACAAUGUUUUCACGUGAUGGGAGCCCAUGAAGACCUCAAGAUCUGCAUCUUUUGGUCAGAUUAAAGGCAGACCGAUCAUACAUUUCUUAUAUUUCUCUUCUCACAUUCCAGCCAGACAGUUGUGAUUAAAUGUCACACUUGUGUAUAAUCGAAAUAGUGGUGAAUAUUUCUCAGGGUGUGUUUAUUGUUCAAAGCUGAUUUCUGCAUAGUCUUGAUUAUCAAAUGAAAAUAAUAAUAAUAAUAAUGAACAUUUUCACUGUUACUACACUGUUGACACACAUUAACCUCUUGUGGCAAAUGCCAGUGGCAGGACAUGAUGUCAGACUGUAUGCAUGGGGUAAGCUGUCACAAGGGAACCUGCUAUUAAACUAUUAUGUUAAUAGGGUUUUAUUGUGUUUAUCCUUGUACCCAACUCAUUUGAGUUCUGCAUGGAGAGUAACACAAUCUAUGCAAACAAAAACAUCGAAUGGUAAAAACAUUUUACAUGCAGAAUAUGAACAUAUGCAAUAAGUCUCAGAAUUAUUAUACAGUAAUUGUUUUGUCGAGGAGAUGUGUCCAACAAAUGAGUUGAACUGUACUGAUAAAUUUCUGCCAAAAGAACCAGAUACACAAAGAAAAUUUAGGGUUGAUAUGGUUGAUUUGAUCACUCAAGUUUUACAAAAAGAACAAGACAAAAUCUCGAAGAAACAGGCCGAAAAGGAGAAGAAGAAGAACCAUUAGGAUGGCAGAGAUGAAGAUGGAUUCAAAGGCCAAAGAGAUGAUUAAAUUACUGAGAAAGCAACAGAAAAUUAAUUUGAAAUUGAUUAUGCUUAUAAAACAAUCCUAUGCUUUGAGUACUUUUAUGCGUGAGAUGGGACAGAUUACAAACGAGGUUGAAGCUUUGACCACAGAAGCUUCAGCGCCGGUUGUAUCUGAAAAUUGUGUUUAAGGGAUAAAAGGUUAAAAUUAUGUCUAAAUAGAAGUGAUAUUUUUCCUGCUUAAUUUCUGAGAAAUGAGACCGAGAUGUAUGUUUUUAUUAUAACUAGAAGUGUUAAAGGGAACUAACGUGAAGGUCUCAAGUUCAAGUGAUUAAAAUGCGUUAAAAUUCGCAGAAUGUGACACAGACUACAAAAGGUGUUGCUAGGCAGGCUGCAGUUAAACUUUGUAUCUUAUGUUUUGCAUACAACAGGAAACAGUGCAGUGUUAGGCGCUGUACUCCUGUUUACAAAUAAGGAAAUGUUUAUGUUGGGAAAAGGAUGUGAUCUUUGGAGACUAUAUAUUGGAAACAGUGUAACAGAAGGUGGCCACACCUCGGGUGAAGACUUUCUCGCCUUUAUGUUUUGUAUUUUAUUCUGUAUCUUGUUAUUAAACCGAAACCAUUGUAUUUGGUGAUUCGUAAACCUCUCUAAACAA